GAAAUUGGAAUAACUGUGCAGAUACAGUUUACCUCUAGUUAGACGAGAAGACCCUAUGCAGCUUUACUGUUGCUAGUUAUUG
rnacentral:rRNA from 1 species